rnacentral:rRNA from 1 species
CCCUUAGAUGUUCUGGGCCGCACGCGCGCUACACUGACGAAUGCAACGAGCUUAUAACCUUGGCCGAAAGGUCUGGGUAAUCUCCAAAUUUCGUCGUGAUGGGGAUAGAUUAUUGCAAUUAUUAAUCUUCAACGAGGAAUUCCUAGUAAACGCAAGUCAUCAGCUUGCAUUGAUUACGUCCCUGCCCUUUGUACACACCGCCCGUCGCACCUACCGAUUGAAUGGUCCGGUGAAAUCUUCGGAUCUGAGAGAUGUUGGAUUAAUUUCUGACGCCUUUUGGAAAAGUCGCUUAAACCUUAUCAUUUAGAGGAAGGUGAAGUCGUAACA